rnacentral:rRNA from 1 species
UACGAAGGUGGCAAGCGUUGUUCGGAUUUACUGGGCGUAAAGGGAGCGUAGGUGGUUAGGUAAGCCCUCCGGGAAAUCUUCAGGCUUAACCUGAAAAGGUCGGGGGGGACUGCCUAGCUAGAGGGCGGGAGAGGAGCGCGGAAUUUCCGGUGUAGCGGUGAAAUGCGUAGAUAUCGGAAGGAACACCAGUGGCGAAAGCGGCUUCCUGGUCCAGCACAGACGUUCAGGCACGAAAGCGUGGGGAGCAAACAGG